UGUAGCGGAAUGCGGAAGCGGGAAGCCAUGGUGCACCGGUAGCAAGGUGGCAUGGCAUGGGUGAGCUCUCCAAUCUCCGUGAGAAGAAACGAGGCCUGCACAAAUUAAGUUGUAGAGGCAUCGGGUUCCAUGGUUUAAAACCGUCGUGACACAUGACCCCUCGGAAGCAAACCGGCUUCUUAGUGUUUCCAAGGUUGUUCGACGGUCUGCGCACAAGGAAGCAAGAACGGGGAGCCGAGAGACGGGUGUGCUUGUUUUUUGAGGGACGAGAAGGGUGUGUUUGGUUGGUGAGUACUGCACAGCAGGUUUCGUUUCGGAUUUUUUUUCAUUGUUUGGGCUCGUUCCGUUUUUUCUUUAAUUGUUUUGGCAGUACACUUUGGAAGAACGAGCAUCGACUUUUGGGCCGAUGGUUUUCGUGUGUCCAAAGAUGUUACAUCUGUCACAAAGUCAACUAGCAGACCGCCGUGACAAAGUCACGUAACCUCGAUGGCCCUUCACCUCCGUCGUACCAGGCUGCUGCUGGGCCGGACGGCCCACAUCUGCUGGCCCGUUGGACUAGUCCGAUGCAUGGAUGUUGGGUGAGCAUAGAGAACAAACAUACAAAGGUUGUUGCCCAAGAAAAACAGAAAGAGAGUGUUCUAAAAAUAGAGAGACGGGCAGACAGAUAGCUAGAUAAGUAGAUAGUCAGACAACCAUCUAGCCUAAAAAAUAGAUAGACAAGACAACUGGCCAUAAAAAUAUUAUAUAAUUUGCUUGCUCAAAAAAUAGAUAGAUAGCAUCUGGCCUGCAAAUAGAUAGAUAAGAUAAGAUAGGUGGCCACGAAUAAUAUUAUAUAAAUUGCAUCACUCCGAAAAUAUAGACAGAUAGCUAGAUAGGGCGCAGAUAGAUAGAUAAAUAGACAUAGACAUUUGGCUUAAAAAAAUUAAAAAGAGGAUAUACAUACAGAUAGAACACCAUGUAGAGACUGCGGCCCAAAAAAAUUAAAAAAACGGUUGCUAUUGAAAACAAAGCGGGAAUUGAGAGUAGCAUGCCAACACAAGACAUGCCAAAAAAAAAGGGCAAGACAGAUCUAUUUGCAUAACAGGACAUAUACUCCUGCAAUAAACAAAAACUCAAGGAGUACCUGAGUCUAGAUUAUUGUGCCUCUAUAUAAACAUGAGGGGAGGAG
rnacentral:lncRNA from 1 species